UACGUAGGAUCCAAGCGUUGUCCGGAUUUACUGGGUGUAAAGGGUGCGCAGGCGGACUUGUUAGUCAGAGGUGAAAUCUCACUGCUCAACAGUGAAACUGCCUUUGAUACUGCAGGUCUUGAAUCCAGAAGAGAGUUGUGGAAUUCCGAGUGUAGCAGUGGAAUGUGUAGAUAUUCGGAAGAACACCAGCGGCGAAGGCAGCAACUUGGUCUGGUAUUGACGCUCAGGCACGAAAGCAUGGGGAUCAAACAGG
rnacentral:rRNA from 1 species